CUCGUAGGUGGUUUGUCGCGUUGUUCGUGAAAACUCACAGCUUAACUGUGGGCGUGCGGGCGAUACGGGCAGACUGGAGUACUGCAGGGGAGACUGGAAUUCCUGGUGUAGCGGUGGAAUGCGCAGAUAUCAGGAGGAACACCGGUGGCGAAGGCGGGUCUCUGGGCAGUAACUGACGCUGAGGAGCGAAAGCGGUGGGGAGCGAACA
rnacentral:rRNA from 1 species